GUGUCAGCAGCCGCGGUAAUACGUAGGUGGCAAGCGUUGUCCGGAUUUAUUGGGUUUAAAGGGUGCGUAGGCGGUCCUGUAAGUCAGUUGUGAAAUACGGCAGCUUAACUGUCGAGGUGCAAUUGAUACUGCGGGACUAGAGUACUGAUGAGGUAAGCGGAAUGGACGGUGUAGCGGUGAAAUGCUUAGAUAUCGUCCAGAACACCGAUAGCGAAGGCAGCUUACUAAGGAGUAACUGACGCUGAGGCACGAAAGUGUGGGGAUCAAACAGGAUUAGAUACCCGCGUAGUCC
rnacentral:rRNA from 1 species